rnacentral:rRNA from 1 species
CCUACGGGAGGCUGCAGUGGGGAAUAUUGCACAAUGGGGGAAACCCUGAUGCAGCGACGCCGCGUGAGCGAGGAAGUCCUUAGGUAUGUAAAGCUCUAUCAGCAGGGACGAAAAAAGACGGUACCUGACUAAGAAGCACCGGCUAACUACGUGCCAGCAGCCGCGGUAAUACGGAGGGGCCAAGCGUUAUCCGGAUUUACUGGGUGUAAAGGGAGCGUAGACGGUAAGGCAAGCCAGAAGUGAAAGGGCAGGGCUCAACCCUGUACGUGCUUUUGAAACUGUGGUGCUAGAGUGCUGGAGAGGUAGGUGGAAUGCCUGGUGUAGCGGUGAAAUGCGUAGAUAUUAGGAAGAACACCGGUGGCGAAGGCAGCUUACUAGACUGUAACUGACGUUGAGGCUCGAAAGCGUGGGGAGCAAACAGGAUUAGAUACCCUUGUAGUC